rnacentral:rRNA from 1 species
AGAGUUUGAUCCUGGCUCAGGAUAAACGCUGGCGGCGUGCUUAACACAUGCAAGUCGAACGAAGUUUUUCUUUCGGGAGGAACUUAGUGGCGGACGGGUGAGUAACGCGUGGGUAACCUGCCCUGUACAGGGGGACAACAGCUGGAAACGGCUGCUAAUACCGCAUAAGCCCUUAGCACUGCAUGGUGCAUAGGGAAAAGGAGUAAUCCGGUACAGGAUGGACCCGCGUCUGAUUAGCCAGUUGGCAGGGUAACGGCCUACCAAAGCGACGAUCAGUAGCCGAUCUGAGAGGAUGUACGGCCACAUUGGGACUGAGACACGGCCCAGACUCCUACGGGAGGCAGCAGUGGGGAAUAUUGCACAAUGGAGGAAACUCUGAUGCAGCGACGCCGCGUGAGUGAAGAAGUAUUUCGGUAUGUAAAGCUCUAUCAGCAGGGAAGAAAAUGACGGUACCUGACUAAGAAGCACCGGCUAAAUACGUGCCAGCAGCCGCGGUAAUACGUAUGGUGCAAGCGUUAUCCGGAUUUACUGGGUGUAAAGGGAGCGUAGGUGGCAAGGCAAGCCAGAAGUGAAAACCCGGGGCUCAACCGCGGGAUCGCUUUUGGAACUGUCAUGCUAGAGUGCAGGAGGGGUGAGCGGAAUUCCUAGUGUAGCGGUGAAAUGCGUAGAUAUUAGGAGGAACACCGGAGGCGAAGGCGGCUCACUGGACUGUAACUGACACUGAGGCUCGAAAGCGUGGGGAGCAAACAGGAUUAGAUACCCUGGUAGUCCACGCGGUAAACGAUGAAUACUAGAUGUCGGGUAGCAAAGCUACUCGGUGUCGUCGCAAACGCAAUAAGUAUUCCACCUGGGGAGUACGUUCGCAAGAAUGAAACUCAAAGGAAUUGACGGGGGCCCGCACAAGCGGAGGAACAUGUGGUUUAAUUCGAUGAUACGCGAGGAACCUUACCCGGGCUUGAAUUGCAGAGGAAGGAUUUGGAGACAAUGACGCCCUUCGGGGCCUCUGUGAAGGUGCUGCAUGGUUGUCGUCAGCUCGUGCCGUGAGGUGUCGGCUUAAGUGCCAUAACGAGCGCAACCCCUCUCCUUAGUUGCCAUCAGGUUAAGCUGGGCACUCUGGGGACACUGCCACCGUAAGGUGUGAGGAAGGUGGGGAUGACGUCAAAUCAGCACGGCCCUUACGUCCGGGGCUACACACGUGUUACAAUGGCAGGUACAGAGAGACGGUCCCUUGCAAAACGGAUCAAAUCCUUAAAGCCUGUCUCAGUUCGGACUGGGGUCUGCAACCCGACCCCACGAAGCUGGAUUCGCUAGUAAUCGCGCAUCAGCCAUGGCGCGGUGAAUACGUUCCCGGGCCUUGUACACACCGCCCGUCAAGCCAUGAAAGCCGGGGGCGCCUAAAGUCCGUGACCGUAAGGAGCGGCCUAGGGCAAAACUGGUAAUUGGGGCUAAGUCGUAACAAGGUAGCCGUACUA